rnacentral:lncRNA from 1 species
UCUUUAAGAACAUUUUUAUUUUACGUUGCUUGAUUGGGUCAAGUAGCCCAAGAGAGAGACGCAGUGUACAAGCCAAAUUUUACCUGCUAUAGAAGGUGAUCAUGUAAAUUAUACCUGUUACAAAAGGUUCUUCCAAAGGGCCAAAACACAACCCCUCUCACUAAACUACGCCAUCGUGUGGCACAGCUUCCACAUCCAACCUACGACGGCGGAAUUUCGCGUACAACAGUGCGCACAAGUUCCAGGUCCUUCCUGCAAGCAAGCCUCCUAUCGUAUACAUGGCCCACUCUUUUCUAUUCUUGAUGUUUUCCCCUACUCUCUAUUCUGAAUAUGAACCAUUGGCCAUCAAGGGUUUUUCUGAAAUCUUUUUGCGCUAAAUUGGAAAAGCAUGAGAAAUAUCACACUAAAUUGCUUCAACUAUUUUGUGCACUCUCCACAGUAAUACUUUUCUUUAUAAAAAUUCUUAUGCUCUUCAUCAAGCUAAGAAAGAGGUAAUGGGUGGGGUUGUAUUUUUCUCUAUGAUGUUCUUCCAUGAGGGCGUGGAGAUCGAUGGACCUCAUAAGUCCUUUCAUUUCAUUAUUUUGAUUCUAUGAAUGCAUGUUUAUAUUCUUGAUACUGUUUUUAUGUUGUUACGAUGUUGUUAUAUUCAUGUUAGUGGAUUGAAAUAGUUAUUAGAUGCUACUGUUAUGCUGG